ensembl:lncRNA
UCCUUCCAUCUCGCUUGCAUCCUAUCUUAACUGUAUAAAACUGUUAUCUCAUAUUUUUUUCCUUGUUUCUCAUUCUGUGUUUUAAAUUGAUUUAUUAAACUAUAUAAUUUGACAUCUUUAUUUGGUCUGCAGACUUUUUGUUCUAUGACUUCUGUGAUAGCUUACACGUAGAGUAUUUAGAGUAUAUGAUUGCACAAAGGUAAUUUCCCACAAGAUAAAUAUGGACAUAAUGGCUGGCACUCAAGCAGCCAUUUUGAUCCCAUGAGGCAAAGAGUCCAUGCUGAGGAUGGAGUUGCUGUAAGGUAGAAGGAGAAACACCACAGCACCAGUACAGGGAUUGAACCCAUACUUCUGCAGCAGCCCACCCAAGCCAUUGCAGUGUCCUUACAAUUGGAUUCCUAACCCACUGCACUAUAGUGGGAACUCCCCUUUAAAACAACAACAACAACAACAACAACAACAAAAACCUUCUAUCUUACAAAAAUUUCAGUAUUAUUGAUUUUCUGUCAUACACAGUUUUAUGCAGUAAUAUUUCAAAUUUCCUUCACUAUUUCAAAUAAUUGGUUUUUGUAAAAUGUGGUCCAAUGCCUAUCAAAAUGAUCUGAGCUACUUGUCAAAAAAUGUAGUUUCUUAAAUGCUUGCAUUCUUAGGUUCUCAGGUCUAUGGUAGAGUCUAAGAAUCUGCACCAGUGAUGAGGAUCCUUGGGAAUUAUUAUGCCACCAAUUUUGUAAACCACUGACCAAUGGGGAAUGGUUGUGGUGUUUACAUUUAGAAUUUAGUCCAAAGACUAAAGAAUAGUAAGGAGUAAAACAUGGAUAUGUCCCCAAAGGAAUUAGUGGGCUAAUACAAAAUACCCAGAGAUUUUGAACUGAAGGGGAAAAAACAAUUCUGAAAAUCACCCUUUGUAUUAGUUUAGUGUGGCUGCUAUAAAAAAAUCACCACAAUUUAAGUGUUUUAAAACAAAUACACCUUUGUUCUCUCACAAUUCUGAAGAUCAGAAGUACAAAAUCAAGGUGUUAGCAGAGUCACCCUACCUCCAAGAGCUCUGGGGAAGAACUGAUUGAUUCAUUGCUUCUUUUCACUUUUGGUGGUUGCCUACCAUUCCUUGGCUCUUGGCCAUAUCCCUCCAAACUCUGCUUCUGUUUUCACAUUGCCUUCUCCUCUGUGUGUCUUUCUAAUAUCUCUCUAUCUCCUCUUAUAAGGAUAUAUUUGAUUGAAUAUCAGGCCUAUCCAAAUAAUAAACUCUUCCUCUUAAGAUUCUAAUCACAUCUUUUGCCAGACAUGGUAACAUUCAUUCUUUGGUUUUAUAAAGUAGUAUUCACAGGUUCUGGGAUUUAGGAAGAGUAUAUAUCUUUUAGGGAAGGGGAAACUUGUUCUUAUACCAUGCACCUUAAUAUCACUUUUGGAUAGAAUAAUUAUUUCUGUGUGUUAAGGACAGUUUGGAUACAUUUAUAACUUUUGACAUGAUAGAUCAUCUUUGUAAUUAUAAGGAGACAUUUAUUUUGCUCAUUAUACCCAAAAGUGAAAUAUAUUGGACAUAAAGUCUUAUCAGCUGCCACACCCACUGUUCUCUUUGAACUUAAGCCCUGCACAGGGAAGCUGCCCUGAACUGCAUUCCAGGAUUACUGAUUAGAUCAGCGCAGGUACAUGAUUGGAGGGAAGCUAGUUUAUAAUCUAUGAGAUUACCUGUACAUGUGAUUGUAAACAUCUAAGACAAACACUCUAGCUUCAUCUGUAAUUUGGACUACCAGAAUUUGAAAUGUGAAGAUUAUCUGUUGGUAGAGAGAUUUAAUACUCUAUGGUGAGACCUGAGGUUUUUUUCUUCAUCUCUCUUUUUUCAACUAACUUUCUGGCAAAUCAAAACCACAAUAAGAUAGCACUUCAUACCUGUUUAAAAUGGUUAUUAUCAGGAGUUCCCGUCGUGGCGCAGUGGUUAACGAAUCCGACUAGGAACCAUGAGGUUGUGGGUUCGAUCCCUGCCCUUGCUCAGUGGGUUAAGGACCCGCGUUGCCGUGAGCUGUGGUGUAGGUUGCAGACGCGGCUCGGAUCCUGCGUUGCUGUGGCUCUGGCGUAGGCCAGUGGCUGUGGCUCCGAUUCGACCCCUAGCCUGGGAACCUCCAUAUGCCGCAGGAGCGGCCCAAAGAAA